rnacentral:rRNA from 1 species
UAGCGUUGCUCGGAAUCACUGGGCGUAAAGCGCACGUAGGCGGAUUGCUAAGUCAGGGGUGAAAUCCUGGAGCUCAACUCCAGAACUGCCUUUGAUACUGGUGAUCUUGAGUCCGGGAGAGGUGAGUGGAACUGCGAGUGUAGAGGUGAAAUUCGUAGAUAUUCGCAAGAACACCAGUGGCGAAGGCGGCUCACUGGCCCGGUACUGACGCUGAGGUGCGAAAGCGUGGGGAGCAAACAGG